ACAAGUCCUGCGCAGUGGCGGCAGACCACGUGAACAGCAGCUUCAUAUUUGACUUUGGAGAUGAAGGAAGCCUGUCUAUUGCUUCUCGGCUUUGCAACGAUACAGACUGCCAGCCUUCAUUUGACUAUGUAUACAUGGAAGCUUUCCUGAAUGGAAAAACAUGCCCCAAAUGCUACAAGCCAGGCUAUACCAGCUGCAAAGACAAUGGGACCGUAUCCUGCCGAGGAAAUUUCGUAACAUGUGCUGUAAUUAGUGGGGAAAUGUCAGAAGGUCCCACUAAAAUACCAUUCGCUGCAAAAGGAUGUGCUCGUACUGACUAUGAUGGUGAUAUCUCCGAGAAAGCACCAGUGACAAU